UUUUUGUUGAAUUAAUACAAUACUAGCAUGUGGCAUAAUACGAUCCUUUUGGCUAGACCCAGUCCUUGAUCGAAGUAAAACGAGUAGCUAGUAUCAAUACAACGUAAUUAGUGUAAUAUACGUUAUACUAUCUUAUAUGGAAUUUCAUAAAAUGCUUAUAUAGAACAGUUAAUAUGACAACCAUUCACCAAGACCAAUCGAGCUGGGUCCAGACCGCGCCUACAAAAGAACCGAUCGUUUAAGCCAUCACGAUGUUAAAUAUUG
rnacentral:lncRNA from 1 species